rnacentral:lncRNA from 1 species
GGUUCACAGUAAGGAGGUGAUGGUGAAGCGAGCAUGGGCUCCAGGAGGGCGUUCAGUGCACAGUCACAGCGCAUCCACAGUGAAGGAGCAAGAUGGCUCACUCAGCAAAGACCCUUGCAGCUAAGCCUUUCUCAGUGUUCCAAUGGCUGGGUAAAGGAAGCCUCCUACAGUUCUCUAUGCUAUAGUCAAGAUUCUUAGUUUUCAUUUGUUUUUAGACAGUCUCAUUGUACAGCAUUGGCUGGCCUGGAACUCGCUGUACAAAGUAGGUUGGCUUUGAAUUCAUAUACAUCUGCCUCUGCCUCUUGGAUGCUGAAUUAAACUCAUGCCCCACCAACCCUAGCACUUUUAUUUUAUUUUUAUUAGUGUGUAUGUUGUCUGUGCGGAUAUAUAUUAUGUGCAGGUGAUUUUGGAGGACAGAAGAGGGUGUUGUAUCUCUGGGGCUGGAGGUGUGUGUGUUGUAACUGCCCAGUGUGGGAUCAGCAAGCACUCUUAACUGCUAGGCCAUAUCUCUAGUCUUAAAAGGACAUUCUUGAGCACCUUAGUAUAUAGACUAUACUAAAGGACCUGCUAAUCUGAGUGUGUUUGCUGAGCUAACUGGGAAAAAGCAGUCUUGGUUUUUGACUAGACAAGUAACGUGGCAUGCUCAUCUUUUUAUUGUAAUAUUGUGUUUGAAAUUUUCUGAUUUUAGUGGAAUCCACAUAAAGAAGGUCUUCUUACUUUAGAAGGAAGUUGGCCACAUGACAUUCUGUACAGUCAGCCAAGCCAGAAAUAGAGCUCUCCCUUUUUUGUGAGCCUGAAGUCUCAUUGAAUAUAUUGGUCUUCCGACUGCAAAUUGUUGCUCAACUUGCAUUGGGGUACAUGACAGCCCAAAAGUCAGUCUGUGAGCUGCCAUGUGAACACUCACAAUUGAAUCAGGUCUCAUCAAAGGUGACAAGAGCUCUUAACUGAUGAGCUAUGGUUCUAGCCCCUAGUAAGUGUAUGCUUGACACUUUAAGAAUUAUUGGAACCUUUUUUAGGGUGGAUGUGUCAUCUUACGUUUUCAUUACUGAUGUAUGAGGUUUCUAGUUUCUUCACAUUUAUCAACAUUUGUUAUUUUAGAGACUGGUAUAUAUCUUAGUAGAGUACUUGUCUAGCAUACAUGAGGCCCUGAGUGAUACCCAGCAUU